CCUACGGGUGGCAGCAGUGGGGAAUAUUGGACAAUGGGCGAAAGCCUGAUCCAGCCAUGCCGCGUGUGUGAAGAAGGCCUUCGGGUUGUAAAGCACUUUCAGUGGGGAAGGAAGCCUUGGGGCUAAUACCCUCGAGGAAGGACAUCACCCACAGAAGAAGCACCGGCUAACUCCGUGCCAGCAGCCGCGGUAAUACGGAGGGUGCGAGCGUUAAUCGGAAUUACUGGGCGUAAAGCGCGCGUAGGCGGUCUGAUAAGCCGGUUGUGAAAGCCCCGGGCUCAACCUGGGAACGGCAUCCGGAACUGUCAGGCUAGAGUGCAGGAGAGGAAGGUAGAAUUCCCGGUGUAGCGGUGAAAUGCGUAGAGAUCGGGAGGAAUACCAGUGGCGAAGGCGGCCUUCUGGACUGACACUGACGCUGAGGUGCGAAAGCGUGGGUAGCAAACAGGAUUAGAUACCCCAGUAGUC
rnacentral:rRNA from 1 species